CCCGCACAAGCGGUGGAGCAUGUGGUUUAAUUCGAUGCAACGCGAAGAACCUUACCUGGGCUUGACAUCCCUGGAAUCCCCUGGAAACAGGGGAGUGCCCUUCGGGAGCCAGGAGACAGGUGCUGCAUGGCUGUCGUCAGCUCGUGUCGUGAGAUGUUGGGUUAAGUCCCGCAACGAGCGCAACCCUUGUCUUUAGUUGCCAUCAUUAAGUUGGGCACUCUAAAGAGACUGCCGGUGUCAAACCGGAGGAAGUGGGGAUGACGUCAAGUCCUCAUGGCCUUUAUGACCAGGGCUACACACGUACUACAAUGGCAGGUACAAAGGGCAGCCACUUAGCGAUAAGGCGCGAAUCCCAUAAAACCUGUCUCAGUCCGGAUUGGAGUCUGCAACUCGACUCCAUGAAGUUGGAAUCGCUAGUAAUCGCAGAUCAGCACGCUGCGGUGAAUACGUUCCCGGGCCUU
rnacentral:rRNA from 1 species